UACAGAGGGGGCAAGCGUUAUUCGGAAUUAUUGGGCGUAAAGGGCGCGUAGGCGGCCUGGCAAGUGGAAGGUGAAAUCCCUCGGCUUAACCGAGGAACUGCCCUCCAGACUGCUUGGCUUGAGUCCGGGAGAGGUGAGUGGAAUUCCCAGUGUAGCGGUGAAAUGCGUAGAUAUUGGGAGGAACACCAGUGGCGAAGGCGGCUCACUGGACCGGAACUGACGCUGAGGCGCGAAAGCGUGGGGAGCAAACGGG
rnacentral:rRNA from 1 species